UGCAAUUCAGGUGUCAUCAUAACUUCAUUCUGCAUUCUUGUUUCUUUUGCUGCUGCUGCAGAGUUGGACACUUUCCGUCCAUCUGUUCUCCUCGUCGGAUCAGGUGUGACAGGCUCAAAUUGGGAUGAGACAAGUGUAGUUGAUGCAUCAGCAAUUGUUCUUGGUGGAGAAUUCAGAUCAAAGCAGAGCCUGGAAGAAAUUACAUUUUCACCUGCAAAGGAAAAUUCAUUAACAGGAUUGAGAAACUGAGGUUGGCGGGAUGCAACAAGGGCUUUGCAAUGAUAAGCGUGCAUAAGAUAAACUCUAGCACAAAGCUAUGUAAGGGAUUGUUGGGACCAAUUUGCUUGCAAUGGUUGUCGUUCUUGCGUCUCUGUGUAGAUUGGCUGAGCUUCCAAACCAGGCUUCGCAGGGGUGGAAGGAAUCCAAGAAUUCUCAAUUUGAGGGCCUUUGACAAUCACAGUAGAGUUCUCUACCGUUGCUUCCAUUCUGCAAGAGCAAAGCCCGAUCAGAGUGAGAAUUAGCUCAGAUGAGUGAAAUGUUUUAACCAAAGCAGCAAAAGCAAUUUACUUGGAAGAAUGCCACUU